GACGAACGCUGGCGGCGUGCUUAACACAUGCAAGUCGAGCGGAAAGGCCCUUCGGGGUACUCGAGCGGCGAACGGGUGAGUAACACGUGAGUAACCUGCCCCAGACUUUGGGAUAACCCUCGGAAACGGGGGCUAAUACCGGAUACGACACAGCUUCGCAUGGGGUCUGUGUGGAAAGUUUUUCGGUUUGGGAUGGGCUCGCGGCCUAUCAGCUUGUUGGUGGGGUGAUGGCCUACCAAGGCGACGACGGGUAGCCGGCCUGAGAGGGCGACCGGCCACACUGGGACUGAGACACGGCCCAGACUCCUACGGGAGGCAGCAGUGGGGAAUAUUGCACAAUGGGCGGAAGCCUGAUGCAGCGACGCCGCGUGAGGGAUGACGGCCUUCGGGUUGUAAACCUCUUUCGGCAGGGACGAAGCGUAAGUGACGGUACCUGCAGAAGAAGCGCCGGCCAACUACGU
rnacentral:rRNA from 1 species